rnacentral:lncRNA from 1 species
AGGCACCGUCCCCUCUCCCGGCUGGGUCGGAGCCCUGCGUGGCAGGGGAGCGCCGUCCCCCUGAGCCACCGAUGGGUGGGGGGAGUGGAGAUGGGGAAGCCUCUCAAAGUCGUGACUCUGCAGAAUAGUUUCUGACGCUGCCCUGGUGUGCGGUGAAAGUGAGGAGACAGGCUGGUCUCGAACUCCUGACCUCAUGAUCCGCCCGCCUCGACCUCCCAAAGUACUGGGAUUACAGGCGUGAGCCACCACGCCCAGCCUGCUGAAGUCUCAGUUUCUUUAACUAUGAAAUGAGAAGUUAGGUUUGAUCCAGUGAAAUUUUAUUCAGCACCUACUGCAUGCAUGCUCCUCUUGAUUAGUUACUGUAAAAUGGGGAAAGGAGAAAUUUGAAGGUGUAGAAUUGAAUACAGAUGAACCUCCAAUGGUAUUCAAGGCUCAGCUGUUUGCGUUGACUGGAGUCCAGCCUGCCAGACAGAAAGUUAUGGUGAAAGGAGGAACGCUAAAGG